rnacentral:rRNA from 1 species
CAGUCGCCGCGGUAAAACGGAGGGGGCUAGCGUUGUUCGGAAUUACUGGGCGUAAAGGGAGCGUAGGCGGAUCGUUAAGUUGGGGGUGAAAGCCCGGGGCUCAACCUCGGAAUUGCCUUCAAUACUGGCGAUCUUGAGUAUGGAAGAGGUAUGUGGAACUCCGAGUGUAGAGGUGAAAUUCGUAGAUAUUCGGAAGAACACCAGUGGCGAAGGCGACAUACUGGUCCAUUACUGACGCUGAGGUUCGAAAGCGUGGGGAGCAAACAGGAUUAGAUACCCGGGUAGUCCCUGUCUCUUAUAC